rnacentral:misc_RNA from 1 species
GGUGGCGGCUGCGAGCAACUUCUCGGCGAUGCAGAUGCGCUUCGUAGGCUGCGCGGCAGGAACAGUGAAGCCUUCAGAGGAGAACGUGGAGGAUGCUAAGUACUUCGCCUCACCAGUUUGACUCAGCCGCAGCCGCCAGUGAUGUCGUCAUCCUGCCUUCUUCGCCAAAUGACGACAGUCCGAUGUCCACGCAGGGCCUCACACCCGAGCGGGUGGCGCAAUGGACGUUAAAGGACGUGGAGAACCACAUCUUCUUCAUGGUCUGGGUGUGCGGCAUACCUGUUCAUGUCCGAUACAUCGUGCACGUUCUCGAGCAUAGUGCAGUUAUCUCUCGACGAGGCGGAGAGCAGAUCCCUCAUGGCGGGUCGACAAGAGAAUCGCUGACAGCGGUGGCCCAAGCAGACGUCCUUGCGCCUGUGUGCCGCCGAGCUGCUGAGCUGCGUCAAGUCGUCUCCCGGUGGCCCAUCAUGGCCACACUACCUGACCUACAAAACCACAAGUCAUUCUCCGAGCUUGUAUCGCUUGGUGUCCUGAGUGAAGAGCCCGAGCAUGAGGGCGGUGCGAUUCGACCCGCUGAGGGCGGUGAGCGCUGGGUCCACUGCGGCAGCGCCAAAGCCACGACAUCUUCCUCUACCUCCUCUCUGUCUUGCUCCACUGUCCAUGCGGGGGCUGUCACGCCAGCGGAGGGCUUUGCCAACGUGGCAGCGCUGGCGCUGCGCUCGCCAGCAGAACGAGACGGCACGUCGCUGUCGUCCGAACCGAGCGCCACCUGGUGUGCGCAAGCGUACUGGACGGCGUGGGCGCAAGCGCAGCAGUGGAUUGCCGGUUGGCCCACGUUCUGCAGUGACGCCGUGCGUAACACCGGCUCGCUCAGCGGCAUUGACGCUGCGGCCGCCUCUGCAUGGCCCCAUCUGCGACCGGCAUGCGCACUGACUGCUCCCGGGCGAAGGCGCCUUCGCGGGGGUGACGCACCAAUCACUAGCGGCGUUGUAGUCGUGGACGCCGACGAGGGGGACGCACGAGGUAGCACUCGUGGCGCCGGUCCCACCUUCAGUGCCGCCAACGACGCCGUGCGUAAUUCAAAGGCUCAGCGACGUGAGGCGGCUGAGGUUGUCGUCAUAGACAGUGACGACGAUGACUUGUGAAGAUGUGCAUGGGGAUGGAGGGUCAGAGGGAGUGACACGAAAAGCGGAGAUGUACCCCCUAGUCGCUCCGUGUAUGUGUGUGUGAGCGGAGGGGGUGGGCGGGAGACGCUGCCCUCCGACCAAGGCCCUCGCUUCUUCUUUGCUAGACCUCUCGCUCGCUUUCUUCACCUGUUGUGCGGCCUCUCCGCUUUCCAAUAGUGUACCGAGAACGCUGUCACGCAUGAAGUCGCACUGUCACACACACACCUACCCUGCACACACACCUCCAAAUCACGGCGCUGCACCGGCAUGUGCUCAUGUGUGCGUGUGUCUGCAUGUUCUGCGGAAGGGAGAGGGAGGGCCGUCGCUGUUUGUCGACUGCGCAGGUGUGAGGGCCCACCGCGACAUGAAAGCGACUCAACUACAUCU